CCGGCCCGGCCCGGCCCGGCCUUGCCCUCUUCACUGCUGCUGCUGGGACUUCUCCUUUCCUAACGUGUUACAUGGGAAGAGGCAGGUGCCAAGCCGGGGCUGGGAGCAUCCUGCCUCCCUGCUGGGCGAGCGCUGCCAGCUGCGUGAGGCACGUGGGCGGGGAUCUGCUCUCCCAGCAGGCGCAGACACCCACCUGACAGCCUCGUCGCCUAGUUUAUUAGCAGGGAAAAAAAGCAGGAAGGUGAGACAAUGGCUCCACGUAAGACGCCGCCAGGUAAACACUACUGGGGGAUGGGGAGAUUAAGAGACAGUGCCUGAUCUAUUCUAGCCAAGUUACACAGCUUGUUUUUCAGAUGCAGGGAACCAACAGAUGAAAAUGACUAUAAAUAUUUACAGUAUUCAGAGGGGAGGCUGUUGUUUGGGAGCUGGUCAUGGCAAACAGACUGACAGACACAAACACCCAUGUAGGGUCUAAAAGAACUAGGCUUUCCAAGGUUUCCAGGAGGAUGGUAAGCCUCAGGUUACAUUAAGUGAACAUGCUGUGAGAUAAAAAUUGCUUCUCAGAAGGAGGUGUCUGCCUAAACCGCUAUGAAGGGUCUGCUUUUACUUCUUGUCGGAGCUCCUGAAAUCCUGUCUGCAGCCCUGGUUGGGAGUAGG